rnacentral:rRNA from 1 species
AGGACUGAAGCCAUGCUAGUUAGAGCCUUGCACUCUUUAGAGGGUUCAAGGCACCGGACGGACGAUCAGUAAACAAGUGGAAAAACAUGACCCUCGGGGGGGGGAUAACCCCCGGGAAACUGGGGGAUAAUCCCCCCAUAGAUAAUGGGUGCAGGAAUGCCCCAUCUCCGAAAGCACUUAGCGCCCGAGGAUGGGUAUGCGGCGGAUUAGGUAGUUGGUGGGUAACGGCCCACCAAGCCUAAGAUCCGUACGGGCUAGGGAGCAGGAGCCCGGAGAUGGACCCUGAGACAAGGGUCCAGGCCCUACGGGGCGCAGCAGGCGCGAAACCUCCGCAAUGCGGGAAACCACGACGGGGUUAGCCGGAGUGCCCGUGCAUUGCACGGGCUGUCGGGGUGCCUAAACAGCACCCCAUAGCAAGGGCCGGGCAAGGCCGGUGGCAGCCGCCGCGGUAAGACCGGCGGCCCGAGUGGCGGCCACUCUUAUUGGGCCAAAAGCGCCCGUAGCCGGCCCAGUAAGUCCCCCGGGAAAUCUGGUCGCUUAACGAUCAGACUUCCGGGGGAUACUGCUGGGCUAGGGACCGGGAGAGGCCGAGGGUAUUCCCGGGGUAGGGGUGAAAUCCUGUAAUCCCGGGAGGACCACCUGUGGCGAAGGCGCUCGGCUGGAACGGGUCCGACGGUGAGGGACGAAGGCCUGGGGAGCGAACCGGAUUAGAUACCCGGGUAGUCCAGGCUGUAAACGAUGCGGGCUAGGUGUCACCGGAGCUACGAGCUCCGGUGGUGCCGGAGGGAAGCCGUUAAGCCCGCCGCCUGGGAAGUACGGCCGCAAGGCUGAAACUUAAAGGAAUUGGCGGGGGAGCAC